rfam:Hordeum vulgare subsp. vulgare, WGS project CAJW01000000 data, contig: morex_contig_1561118
CUCGUACUCCCUCUUUUUCAAAAUUCUUGUCUUAGGUUUGUCUAGAAAUAAAUGUAUCUAAAUACUAAAAUAUGACUAGAUACAUUCAUAUAUAGACAAAUUUAAGACAAGAAUUUUGAGACGGAGGGAGUAUUAG